UGGACAUCUUGCAACCGCGAUUUUGACAUAAACGAACUGCUGUCUUUUUGCGCACCUUUCGAGCAGUAACCUGCACCGUUUAUUGAAAGGGAGCCUCAGUUUUUGUCGUCUGCUGAACGUGGUUUUCUCGGCACAAAUCAACUUCAAUAAAUUAGACGACAGUGUAUAUAUUGAGUAACUGGUAUUUCAUUGGGGUGGACAAGGUCUGUGACUGUUGUUGUCGACAAGAACUGUCUGGCUUGCUGCAUUCUGAGUGUUCUGACCAUUACUAAUGGCCAUGUGAAGUACGGUAUUUGUUAGUCUGCAUGUUAAUGUGGCAGCUAUGGCAGAACCUAACAUCUGUGGUUGUACUUAGAAAUGUGAGAGCGUUACCUGGGCCAUCAAGCUACACCUGGUACUGAAAUAAUCCAGGUAGCCAAGCAUGGUGUUUGUCCUUUUGUUGGCUAUGUCACAUUACUGGUUGAUGACACUUGAAAGACACCAUGUAUUUGAGACAAUAGCAAAAUCAACAUGGUCCUUAAUACUUCUAAAAUGAUCUGUUGCCAGCCAGCUGACAGUUGUUUGGCUGAAAUUCUUUGUCAACAUUAUUAACUUACAAUGAGUUGAUGUCUGCUACUUGUUAUGAGUUCAUUUGAAGCCAUGCUCUAACUAGAAGGAGUCAUGAUCAGUGAAACCUGCACUACUACAGAAAUGGGAGUGAUGAAAGUAGUCUUAGUUGCUAGUUGUACCAAGAGGACAGUUGUGACUUCAGGGUAGCAAUAAAA